UUGGAUUCCAAUCGAAGAAGAAGAAGAAGGAGAAGGAACACUAGCACUAGCACUGUGCUAUGAAGACGAUAGCUUUUGUGUCCGUUUGAAAACUACAGGUAUGUAAUAGCACGUUUACACUUUCUAAUAUCGAAAGAACAUGUCAUAACAUGUUAGGUAGCAAAUCCGUCAAGGUAUUGUCACGUUUGCUAAAAUUUUAUGACGUUAUUGUGUCAAACCGAGUGAGUGAAGAACGUGAUUAGUCAUAUCGUUAGAGACUGGGUUUGUCUGAGUGAAUGAAUAUACAUUAUUUCGUCAAGAUAAAUUCAUAAAGAAUCUAUGUAUUUGAGAUUUCUGAGUUCGUUUUACAUAUUGUUUUGUUGUAUAAUGUUUUUUUACGAGCUGAUAAAAUGGCGGCGGCAACUCUGGGUCAGUGGACUUCAGUGCAGGCAGUGCGGGUGCAUCAGAGAGACAAUUUCACGGUUGCUCUACUGUUUUGAAGCUGAGUGUAAUGAUGAUCAGUUUUCUACAUAUUCAGACACCUUCAGCUGUUUCUAUCUUAUCUAUAUUUGUUACUAUGAUGUGACUGGUAAAUACAAAUGGUUUUUGCGAGCUAAAUCACAUUUUAUUGGUCACAUGCGCCAAAUACAAUGUGUAGACUCUACAGUGAAACGCUUACUUCCAAUAAUACAUAGUUAAAAAAUAAAGGGAAAUAUUUUCUAAAUUAAUAAAGUAAUAGUAGCACAAAGGAGUACCAGUACCGAGUCAAUGUGCAGGGUGGUAAUACAGGAUGAAUCUGCAGGGUUAAUUGAGGUAAUACAGGAUGACUCUGCAGGGUUAAUUGAGGUAAUGCAGGAUGAAUCUGCAGGGUUAAUUGAGGUAAUACAGGAUGAAUCUGCAGGGUUAAUUGAGGUAAUACAGGAUGAAUCUGCAGGAUUAAUUGUGGUAAUACAGGAUGAAUCUGCAGGGUUAAUUGUGGUAAUACAGGAUGAAUCUGCAGGGUUAAUUGAGGUAAUACCAUAUGUGCAUGUCACUUUCACCCCUAGCUACAUGUGUGUUGAGUGUCAGUGUAGUUUGUGUGGGUUGAGAAGUGGGUGUGCAUAGAGCCAGUGUUCAGAGGGCCCAUGCCUAAACUUGUCAGCCUCCUGAGGGGGAAGAGGCGUUGCCCUCUUCAUGACUGUUGGUGUGUUUGGACCAUGAUAGGUCCUUAGUGACGUGGACACUGAGGAACUCGAAGCUCUUGACCCGCUCCACUACAUCCCAUCAAGGUGAAUGAGGGGGCAUGUUCGGCCCUCUGUUUCCUUUAGUCCUCGAUAAGCUCCUUAGUUUUGCCCAUGUUGAGGGAGAGGUUGUUGUCCUAGCACCACACUGCCAGGUCUCUGACCUACUCCCUAUAGGCUGUCUCGUCGUUGUCAGUGAUCAAGCCUACCACCGUUGGCUAACUUAACGAUGGUGUUGAAGUUGUGCGCUGCCACGCAGCCGUGGGUGAACAGGAAGUACAGGACCACGCACCCCUGAGAGGCCCCCGUGAUAAAGGUCAGCGUGGUGAAUGUGUUUUUGCCUACCCUCACCACCUCUCGGGCGGCUCGUCUUGAAGUCCAGGAUCCAGUUGCAGAGUGAGGUGUUCAGUCCCAGGUUCCUUAGCUUAGUGAUGAGCUUGGAGGGUACUAUGGUGUUGAACGCUGAGCUGUAGUCAUUGAACAUCAUUCUUACGUAGGUGUUCCUCUUGUCCAGAUGAGAAAGGGGAGUGUAAUAGAGAUUGCGUCGUCUGUUGGGGAAGUAGACAAAUUGGAGUGGGUCCAGGGUUUCUGGGAAGAUGGUGUUGAUGUGAGCCAUGACCAGCCUUUCAAAACAUUUUAUAUCUACAAAUGUGAGUGUUACAGGGCAAUAGUCAUUUAGACAGGUUACCUUAGUGUUCAUGGGCACAGGUACUAUGGUGGUCUGCUUGAAACAUGUAGGUAUACAGACUGGGUCAGGAAGAGGUUGAAAAUGUCACUGAAGACACUUGUCAGCUGGUAAGCACAUGUUCUGAGUACGCGUCAUGGUAAUCCGUCUGGCCCCGUCGGCCUUGUUAAUGUUAACCUGUUUAAAGAUCCUACUAUUUAAAGGCUACGGAGAGUGUGGUCAUACAGUCAUCCAGAACAGCUGGUGCUUUCACUCAUGGUUCAGUGUUGCUUGCCUCGAAGUGAGCAUAGAACGCAUUUAGCUUGUCUGGUAGGCUUGCGUCACUGGGCAGCUCUCGGCUGGGUAUCCUUUUGUAAUCCAUAAAUCUAGUGCUGAGGGAUUAGUGCACUUUUGAGGUCAGUUUCGGUUCAAUUAUUAAAAAGGCUCACGGAUUUGAGUUUCAAUUAUUACAUUUUUUUCUUAACAUUACAUGAACUAAUGAAAUAAUGACAUCAAUAUUUUUAGAGCUUUUUAAUGGAAAUUGCAAGUGUGUGUGUGUGUUGGUGUCAAAUAGCUGGAGAGGGGGUUGGUCGGUACAGUUUGAUUUAUUGUUCAUAUCACACGCUCUAGCUCUCUAAACACAUGCACACACACGCGCACACACACACACUCUCGCUCGCUCUCUCUCUCCACACAAACUCCCCCUAUAUCUACCUCUCCCAGCAGGUCAGUCCAUCUCUCUCUUUCUCUGUCCUCCAUCUCUCUCUCUCUUUCUCUGUCCUCCAUCUCUCUCUCUCUUUCUCUGUCCUCCAUCUCUCUCUCUCUUUCUCUGUCCUCCAUCUCUCUCUCUCUUUCUCUGUCCUCCAUCUCUCUCUCUCUUUCUCUGUCCUCCAUCUCUCUCUCUCUUUCUCUGUCCUCCAUCUCUCUCUCUCUUUCUCUGUCCUCCAUCUCUCUCUCUCUUUCUCUGUCCUCCAUCUCUCUCUCUCUUUCUCUGUCCUCCAUCUCUCUCUCUCUUUCUCUGUCCUCCAUCUCUCUCUCUCUUUCUCUGUCCUCCAUCCCUCUCAUUUGGAUGAUAGAUAGGGAUGGCCCAAGGCCAAAAUAGUGAACAUUCAAUUGCAAAAACAUUGAAAAUAUUCCAUUGUAUCUGUCAGGUCCAUUUUCGGUAGACAUCAAUAGAAAAGUAGUCAAUUACUAUGACAAAAUCAAAUAUUUCAGUUGUGUAUAUUAUACUGAACAAAAUUAUAAACACAACAUGUAAAGUGUUGCUCCCAUGUUUCAUGAGCUGAAACAAAAGAUUCCAGAAAUAUGCACAAAAAGCUUAUUACUCUCAAAUUUUGUACAGAAAUGCGUUUAUAUCCCUGUUGGUGAGCAUUUCUCCUUUGCCACGAUAACCCAUCCACCUGACAGGUGUGGCAUAUCAAUAAGCUGAUUAAACAGCAUGAUCAUUAAACAGGUGCACCUUGUGCUGGGGACAAUAAAAGGCCACUCUAAAAUGUACAGUUUUGUCACACAACACAAUGCCACAGAUGUCUCAAGUUUUGAUGGAGCUUGCAAUUGACAUGCUGACUGUAGGAAUGUCAUAGAAUUUAAUGUUAAUUUCUCUACCUUAAGAAAUGAACAUCGUCGUUUUAGAGAAUUUGGCAGUAUGUCCAACUGGCCUCACAACCGUAGAGCAAGUGUAACUGUGCCAGCCAAGGACCUCCACAUCUGGCUUCUUUACUGCGGGAUCGUCUGAGACCCUCCACCCUGACAGCUGAUGAAACUGAGGAGUAUUUCUGUCUGUUCUAAUGCCCUUUUGUGGGGAACAACUCAUACUGAUUUGGCUGUGCCUGGCACCCCAGUGGGUGGGCCUAUGAAAGUGUAUCCAUCUAGUGAUCUGUCGAGUCUGAAAAACCCCAUGAUGGUCAUUGUAGUUCAUUACCAAGUUUCUGUGCUAAACUAGGUUGAAUAUUUGCUUUAUGAAAACUACAACUCUCUUUAGAACCAGCAUACCACAUAUUGGAGUUCCUCACUGUCGUUUAAUGAUUUGAUUUCUCUCUAGAGAAAUGUCACGUUGGGCUCACACACAAAAAAAACUAACUGAAUAGAAUUCAAGUAAUUGAACUGACAAUUAGUUGUACAAACAAAAAAUGUAAUUGCUCAACGCUAAAUAAUACAGUGAAUAUUAUUCAGGAAAAUAGCACAUAGUGCUGCCUAAAACAUACUGUAACCUUGAACUAAAUGGUUUUCGACUCAUUCAUUUUAAUGUAGGAAAUCUACUAUAGGUUAAGUGCACUAUAGGUUAAGUGUAAUUUAAAGUGUGCACUUUGUUUAAUGUGAAUUCAUGUUUUAUUGUCAAUGAUUAGUUACCUGAUAUAUGGAAAUGAGAGAAAUGAACAAGAAAACAUUUUAAUAUAUUUUGUUAUAAUAGAGAGAGUGCCAGAACUGUCAAGACAAUAACUUUUCUGUCUCUCUCCUUCCCGACUGAGUCCAAACCUACAGUCACUGGGUCCUGAUUGUGACAGUGGAGCCCAGUUUGUACUGCAGGAUCCAGAGAUGGCAUCAGUGAAGCUGGAAGACUGCAGUCAAACACUGGAGCUGAAUGUCAACAUUAAAGAUGAAGAAGAGGAGGAGAAGAUUGGGAAAUCUGUUUUUCAUGCCAGAAGAGGAUUGACCACCCCUCAGAGCCUGGUUCCUCUUUAGGAGACCAUGUUGAGACAUUCUUUACAUCCAGAGAGCAACAGCAGGAAGAUCACAGAGCUAAGAGGUCUCACCACUGCCCACAUUGUGUGGAGAUUUUCCCAUUUCUAUCAAAGCUAAAAAUACACCUACAAAUACACACAGGAGAGAAGCCUUACUCCUGCUCUGACUGUGGGGUGAGUUUCUCUCGACUGGAUACCUUAAAAACACACCAACGUAUACAUACGGGAGAGAAGCCUUACUACUGCUCUGACUGUGGGGAGGGUUUCUCUCAAAAGAGCAGCUUAAAAGCACACCAAAAAAUACAUACUGGAGAGAAGCCUUACUCCUGCUCUGAUUGUGGGAAGAGUUUCUCCCGAUGGAUCACUUAAAAUCACAUGAACGUAUACAUACAGGAGAGAAGCCUUACUACUGCUCUGACUGUGGAAAACAUUUCUCCCGAUUGGAUCACUUAAAAUCACAUGAACGUGUACACACAGGAGAGAAGCAUUACUACUGCUCUGACUGUGGAAAAUGUUUUAAAACAUCAAAUGAGCUAAAACGUCAUCAGAGAACACACACAGGAGAGAAGCCUUACUUCUGCUCUGACUGUGGGAAGAGUUUCUCCCGAUUGGAUACCUUAAAAACACAUGAACGUAUACAUACAGGUGAAAACCCUUACUCCUGCUCUGACUGUGUAAAACACUUCAAAACAUCAACUUAGCCAAAAGUUCAUCAGAGAACACACACACAGGAGAGAUGCCUUACUCCUGCUCUGUGGAAGGGUGGGCGUGUAACUCAAACAUCUAGCCAAAGGCUGCGUGUUUGAAUCUCAUCACGGAGGACUUAAGUAUUUUAGCUAAUUAGCAACUUUGCAACUACUUACUACUUUUUAGCUGUUACUGAGCAUUUUAGCUUAGCAUGCAACUACUUAGCAUGUUAGCUAACCUUUCCCCUAAACCCAUUUAACUCUACCUUAAACCCCUCACCCCUAACCUAGCUAACGUUAGCAACAACAAAUUGGAAUUCAUAACAUAUCAUACAUAUUACAAGUUCGGAACAUAUUGUAUGAAUAGCAAUGCGUAAAAUAACAUACAAAUUGUAAUUCGUAACAUACGAUACGUCCUACAAGUCGUAUUAUACUGAACAACAAUCUAAACGCAACAAUUUCAAAGAUUUACAGUUCGUAUAAGGAUAUCAGUCAAUUGAAAUGAAUAAAUGAGGACCAAAUCUAUGGAUUUCACAUGACUGGGCAGGGGCUCAGCCAUGGGUGGGACUUGGGAGGGCAUAGCCCCACUUGGGAGCCAGGCCCAGCCAAUCAGAAUGAGUUUUUCCCCACAAAAGGUCUUUAUUACAGACAGAAAUACUACUCAGCCCCCCCCCCAGACAAUCCUGCAGGUGAAGAGGUGGUCCUGGGCUGCCGUGGUUACAUGUGAUCUGCAGUUGUGAGGCCCGUUUGAUUUUCUGCCAAAUUCUCUAAAAGGACGUUAGAGGUGGCUUAUCGUAGAGAUAUAAAUAUUGAAUUCUCUGGCAACAGCUCUGGUGGACAUUCCUGCAGUCAUCAUGAAAAUUGCACAUUCCCUCAACUUGAGACAUCUGUGACAUUGUGUUGUGUGGCCUUUUAUUGUCCUCAGCACAAGGUGCACCUGUGUAAUGAUCCUGCUGUUUUAUCAGCUUCUUGAUAUGCCACACCUGUCAGGUGGAUGGAUGGAUUAUCUUGACAAAGGCUGAAAUGCCCACUAACAGGGAUAUAAACACAACAUUUCAGAGAAAUAAGCUUUUUGUGCAUAUGGAACAUUUCUGGGAUUUUUUAUUUCGGCUCAUGAAACCAACAAUUUACAGUUUUCGUUUAUAUUGUUAGGCAAAAUUGUUAGGCAAAAUAUAAUGUAACCUAACAUAACAUACUAAAUGGAGUGGCAUGGAUGUUUUUGUAACAUAUAAUAUGUUUUGCUCCGAGACCAGGUUGUCCCUCCACAGUAUUCUGUGGGAAUGAGCUUCUUUUUAUUUUUUUUAUUGAACCUUUUUUAACUAGGCAAGUCAGUUAAGAACAAAUUCUUAUUUACAAUGAUGGCCUAGGAACAGUGGAUUAACUGCCUUGGUCAGAGGCAGAACGACACAUUUUUAACUUGUCAGCUCGGGUAUUCAAUCUAGCAAAUUUGUGGUUACUUGCCCAACGCUCCAACCACAAGGCUACCUUCCACCCCUAACAUGUAUCAGAUAGAUAUGGUGUGAUGAUCACUUUUCACCAUUAGUUUGGAGGGAUUAUUUUACAACUUGAUUUAAUGAUACACAGCUUAUGAAAUGAAUACAUGUGUUUAUUAAUUGUCUUUAAAACUAGAUUAGUUAUUUUAGUUACUGAUCAUGAAUGUGUUUGGAUAACUGCAUUGAAGCGAACUUUAUUGAUCUGCCAAUGAAAAAUAAAGUUACAUGAAUAUGUA